CUUAUUCCGUUCAGCAAUUUCGUCUGUGCUUUUCGUUUUCACUACUGCCUCGUUCAUUCAUGUGGCAUGCCCUCUGCUUCUGCAACAGCUCGCGUCGGCCCUUGACCAUUACUAGCCUUGGGAUGCGGAUGCGGCCAUGGGCGACCCUGUGGCUGGGAUAGCGUGCAGAGCUCACCUCUGCCACGAAUCUGCUUUGUUGCCCCCGCACGAUCGGUCGGCUUAAAAUCAAGAGCAUUUUGAUGUCAAGAGCUGGGCUAUCCAAAUGACAAUGAUGAUCCCAUCACUGCAGAAGCUGAACCGCUUGGAUUUCUUAAGAAUAAUGCUGCCAUCUUCAACCCUGUCAUAAAACCCUUUUGGCAG